CAACUCCUCGUGCACCCCCAACCUACUUUCUGGUGGGGUGAAGAGCAGAAAAGGCCUUUACUGCCUUGUACUGCUCAGCGAUAGCUAAAACAUCCCUGUGUUAUCAACACUGUUUCCAGCACAAAUCCAGAACACAGCCCCAUCCUAUCUACUCUGAAUAAAAUUAACUCUAUCCUGCCAAAUUCAGUACAGUUAUAGAUCUGAAGAGCUUCUUGAAGGGAUUAUUUUGCUUGCAGAAUUGCAGUUUGGGUUCAGGCCAUCCUUUAAACUGCAAGAGCACUCAGAAAAGGUUCCUGUUGCAGAUUAAUAAACAGACAAGCUACAACAGGCUCAGGUGUGAACUGCAAAUGGUUGGAAGAUGGGAGAAAAUUGGGAAGAUGAACAAAGGGAACGAAGACAGACAGGAAAUCCCAGGACACCGCCUGGAAUACCGAGAGAAAGAAGAAUUCAAACGACAUCUGCUUUUGUCCUGAACAUCACUGACACUUUGGACCAUGACCAAAACCCUGGGAAAAGUCUAGCUCUGAAUCGUGCCAAGAUGAGGAGGAUGCUGUG